rnacentral:rRNA from 1 species
AGCUUGUCGGUGGGGUAACGGCCCACCGAGGCUCUGACGGAUAGGUGGUCUGAGAGGAUGGUCACCCACACUGGGACUGAGACACUGCCCAGACUCCUACGGGAGGCUGCAGUCGAGAAUCUUCCGCAAUGGGCGCAAGCCUGACGGAGCAAUGCCGCGUGCGGGAUGAAGGCCUUUGGGUCGUAAACCGCUGUCACCGGGGACGAAUAAUGACGGUACCCGGAGAGGAAGCCACGGCUAACUACGUGCCAGCAGCCGCGGUAAUACGUAGGUGGCGAGCGUUGUUCGGAUUUAUUGGGCGUAAAGGGUUCGUAGGCGGUCCGUUAAGUUUGAUGUGAAAUUCCGGGGCUCAACCCCGGACCUGCAUUGAAGACUGGCGGACUUGAGAUACGGAGAGGAAAGCGGAAUUCCCGGUGUAGCGGUGGAAUGCGUAGAUAUCGGGAGGAACACCGUCAGCGAAGGCGGCUUUCUGGACGUUUUCUGACGCUGAGGGACGAAAGCGCGGGUAGCGAACAGGAUUAGAUACCCUGGUAGUCCGCGCCGUAAACGAUGUGCGCUUGGUCUGGGGGGAUUCAACCCCCUCCGGGUCGGAGUUAACGCGUUAAGCGCACCGCCUGGGGACUACGGCCGCAAGGCUAAAACUCAAAGGAAUUGACGGGGGCCCGCACAAGCGGUGGAGCAUGUGGCUUAAUUCGAGGCAACGCGAAGAACCUUACCCGGGUUUGACAUGUACGCGCCGUUCCGUGAAAGCGGAAUUUCCUUCGGGACGCGUAUGCAGGUGCUGCAUGGCUGUCGUCAGCUCGUGUCGUGAGAUGUUCGGUUAAGUCCGGCAACGAGCGCAACCCGCGCCGUCAGUUACCAUCGGGUGAUGCCGGGGACUCUGACGGGACUGCUCGUGUUAAGCGGGAGGAGGGCGCGGACGACGUCAAGUCAGUAUGGCCCUUAUAUCCGGGGCUGCACACGUGCUACAAUGACAGGUACAGAGGGCUGCGAGGCCGCGAGGCUGAGCGAAUCCGAUAAAGCCUGCCCCAGUUCGGAUUGCAGUCUGCAACUCGGCUGCAUGAAGUUGGAAUCGCUAGUAAAGGCGCAUCAGCAACGGCGCCUUGAAUACGUUCCCGGGCCUUGUACACACCGCCCGUCACAUCACGGGAGCUGUCUGCACCCGAAGCCGUUCAUCCCACCCCGUUUCAGGGGGGGCGGACGUCGAAGGUGUGGAGAGUGACUGGGAUGAAGUCGAAACAAGGUAGCCGUAGGGGAACCUGCGGCUG